rnacentral:misc_RNA from 1 species
GCCAAAUUUGUGAGAGCAAAAUCAUCCAUCUAUCUUUACACGUGGCAUUCUUAGAGUCCUCGAUCUAGUCACGUCAGCAUCCGACUGUGCCCAAACCCCAAGGUAAGUUCCAACUCCACGUCACCACCCUGGCCCACCGAAGAAGCCUCCACCGUCUCCACCGACAAGCACUCGGUGUGGUCGCUGCCGCACUCCUUCUCCGGCGACUCACGACCCCCCCAAUUAUCCAACUCAAACUUCAAACACCGGGGCUCCGAUACAAUCCGGGUCGGGUCUCCGAAUUUGAACUCCGACACCACCACCACCGGCUCCUCCUUCGGCUUCGACUUGACCGCCACCGCAGAGCGUUUGAACCGCCGCCGCGUCUUGAUCUUUUUAAGUGCGGAACCAGAGGCGGAGCUUUGCUGUUUGGAGACAUGGCGGAUAUCGCAGCCUUUCAAGGGUGGACCCAUGUGCGACGCCGCCGUCUCGGAAGAAACCGGCAGAAUCGGCGCCCCUUUCAGAACUGCUUCGACGGCGUCCUGACAGAGCUGCCAGCUCCCAGACCACAACAAUCCAGCGGACCCAAAAAUGGGAUUCACAAUCCGGCCACACGCCUCGAAAAGCAAUGAUUUAAAAAUAGCUGGGCGGAGAUGGUCAGGGCCGGCAUUGAUGAGGUUAACAAGGCCAGCUCGGCCGUAGAAUUUGGCGAGGAAGAAAGUGGCGUUGGCUUGGGAU